UUCAGAAAAUGUCAGAAGAUGGCCUGGCAGGCCAGGCAAAAAUGCAAGACAGGGUCACAGUUUCUGCCAAGAGCUCAUGAGAGGGUAAUGCAUAAAACUGUGAGAAUGAGUCCAAAGGUGCGAUGGAGACCCCAGGAAGUUGGAGAUGCCAGGGAUGUGGAAUAUCUGCUGAGGGAAUUCACAGCCAAUCAACCAAGUCAGAUCUUCAACACAUGAGCAAGUUUCUCUUUCUUUUGUAUCUGCUUCCUGCUGACAGUGGCCAGUGAGAGAAGGAAGGGGCCCAGGUUCAACUGAUGAACUAGAGUGGUACCGGGUGAACAAAGCGCAAACAUGUUUACGACCAAUAUUCCUGCAGGGGACCUGUUUCAACUGUACAUUGAUGGGAUUGGAUUGCACAAUGUUUAGCCUGGGAAUCAGAUAGGUAAAUAAAAGACAAGACUUGGUGUGGGAA